UCACUUGGGCAGUGCACAUAACUAAACGUUGGAAUGACAGAGAAGAUUAGUGUGGCCCCUGUGUAAGGAUGACACACAAAUUUAUGUAGAUGCAGAAAAGAAA
rnacentral:snRNA from 1 species